AGGAUAGAGGCGCGGUUUUCAUCAGUAACUGAAGGUAAGAGGUCUUCGCAAGGAUCUGCCGACAGCGAAAGGGGCAACCGCCGAAGGAAAAACUGUUGCGACGUUUUUCUUGGUUAUCCGGAGAAAAUCCGUAUAACUGUCGCUUGCGCGGAGAGCUAUAUG
rnacentral:ncRNA from 1 species